AUGAGCACACUCCGCCGUUCCGGGACUCCGGAUCUGAACCGCGGCCCUGAAAUGCUCCUCAUCUGUCCCCUGGUUCCGCGAGCCUCGGAGGCAUGGCGGCGCCUCUCCAUGGGCUCCCAGAUCAUGAUGGCAGCAUGGCCUGGCCAUAGGAGAGACGCAGACUGUCAGGCCCACUCCAGCCCCGCUGCACCACAAGCCCAGUGGGGCAGCCUCACGCUCUGGGUUUUAAACAGCUGGGAGGUUUUGGAUUAUCCCAGACUGACCGGUGCCCAAACUCAUCUUCAUUCGCCUCAGCUGUUUCUCUCACCGCUGCAGCCAGUCCUUUGUCAGCCUCUUUCCUGUCGCCGUUCCUUCUCCGGUCCGCGGUCUGCUUCGUCCAAGGGCAGAUCCCCUGACAGUGGGACCUUCAUACUCUGUGUCUCGUCUACAGUCCACCCUACGCAUGGACAAACAUUACACUCCCUCCAGUGCAGCAUUCUCAAAAGACUUCUUCCUUUAGCCGAGCAUGGUGGUACAUGCCUGUAAUUCCCAGCACUCUGGGAAGCUGAGGCAGGAGGAUUCCGAGUUCAAGACCAGCCUGGGCAAUUUAGCAAUUUAGCAACGUCCUGUCUCAAAAAAUGAAAAAGGUUGAGGCUAUAACUCAGCGUGAAGGCCAUGGUUUCAAUCUCAAGUACCAAAAAGAAAAUUCUUUUAAAAAAUAAACUGUCAUUGAUGAGUAAUCAUUUUACAUAUUUAUGGUGUUUAGUGUAGCACUUCAAUUCGUAUUUACAAUUCACAGGGUGAUCAGCGUUUCCAUCUCCUCAAACAUUUAUCAUUUCUAUUUGUGGAGAACUUUGAACUCUUCUCUUCAAACCAAACUUAGCCUGGUCUGGCUUUCCUACUGCCCGAAGAGGGAAGAACUGAGAACCUUCUAACUCUUCUAGCUGUUUUGAGAUACAGAAUACAUUGACACAGACUAUAGUUGCUCCACUGUGUGCUAGAACAUCAGAACGAGUUCUUCCCAUCUAGCUGUCUUUGAGUGCCCUUUGCUUCAGCCUCUUUCUAUCCCUCCCUCUCACCUUCUCAGCUUAUCGUGGCCAUUAUUCUAUUUCCUGCUUCUAUAAAAACAGCCAAAGGCCGGGCGUGGUGGCGUACGCCUGUCAUCCCAGCACUCGGGAGGCUGAGGCAGGAGGAUCGCUGUGAGUUCGAGACCAGCCUGGGCUACAAAGUGAGUUCCAGGUCAGUCUCAACCACAUGGUGAGACCCUGUCUCAAAAAAAAAAAAAAAAAAAAAAAAAGCCGAAGAAUUGGUUCUUUCUCCUUAAAAGUGUGUAUUAACUUAUAUUACCACAAUAUCGCAGUAUAAGGGGUGAUAAAAUGUGUGGUGAAUAUUUAUUGAUUUAUGUUAUUUUAUUUUAUUAGUACUGGGGAUCAAACUCAGGCCCUUGUGCUUACGAGGCAGGGCGUGAAAUGACUGAGCUAAAUCCCCAGUCCCAUUGGUGAAUAUUUAAAUUUUUAAAAUGUAUUACAGUAAUAACCACAUUGUCCUUAAUCCUCCUCAGAACCCUCCCCUCCCUUCAAACACACUUGUUCCACGGCUCUUCCACUUUCUGAAGUGGUUCUGGAGUCUUCUUUCAUGAGUGUCAAAAUUUUCAGUGAAUGCUGUUGCCAAGCGCCGCCCAACAGAGAGGCAGGCUCGUAAAAACAUCCCUGUGUGUCCUUGUCCGUCUCAUUCCUGAGAUCCGGCAGUGGGACGCUUCUGGUUCUUCCUAAGUCCAAAUGACCAGGAAAAGUAAACUUUCCUAGUGGAUUCAGGACAUUGAGGCAGCCACGACAGCAUGACUAGAGACCCUCAUGAAAGAGGACUCCAGAACCGCUUCAGAAAGUGGCAGGAAAGAUGUGAUAAAUGUGUUUGAAGUGAGGGGGUAUUUUGAUGGGGAGGGAUGGCAAUGUGUCUCUUACCAGAAUACUUUUUUAUUUUGGUACCUGGGAUUGAACGCAGGUUGUCCUUGUGCUUGCAAAGCAGGUGGUGGAACCACUGAGCUAAGUCCCCAGCCCUCUAGAAUACAAUUUGUAAAGAUCUAGGUAUUCACUGUAUUGUUUGAUCACACCGUGUAUACCAGAGUGUCCCCCGUCUCAGCGGCUUAUGGCAACAGGUAUCUGUUAUUGCUGAUGUGUUUCUCUGUCCACUGUGGUCAGCUGCUCUGGGCAGCCGGGAGCUCUGUUCCACCACAGCUCUGCAUGCAGCUCUGUUCCACGGCUCUUGUCCUCCUCGCUGUAGUGACUUCCCUAGGACACGCCAUUCUCCCGGGCUUGGCAGCAGGGAAGAGGGCAAGUGAAAGUGCUCAGUGUGCCACCCAAGGUUACACCUGCCUGGAUGUCAGCCUUCAGUGUCUGGUCACUCCCACCCUCGCAGCCCAGGCCCCUCACCUGGGUUCACCAGGCAGGACGGAGCUCAUAGGAAUCUCGUGGAAGCGGGACCAGACCCGGCCAUGCUGGACAGUGGAUUCCCUGGCUUUUGCACUGCCCAGAGACGCGGGAGGGACUGUUUGGGUCCACUUGCUGUUGGUGGUUUGUACAAAAUAAACAGCAAACAAUUUCUCUUCAAUGAAAUAGACUGAACCACAGAUCAUCUUUGUGGCCCUUUCUUCCUUUCUUUGCCUUGGGGAAAAAUAUCUCAAGGAAUUAUUUUCUCCUUAACAAUGGCAACAGUUUAUUCCUGUUGCUUUGACUUGGAUCCUCUUUACUUUCUUUUUUUUCUAGACUGAGAG
ensembl:lincRNA